ACGGGAGGCAGCAGUGGGGAAUAUUGGGCAAUGGGCGAAAGCCUGACCCAGCGACGCCGCGUGAGGGAAGAAGAUCUUCGGAUUGUAAACCUUAGUCAACAGGGAAGAAGCAAGUGACGGUACCUGUGGAGGAAGCCACGGCUAACUACGUGCCAGCAGCCGCGGUAAUACGUAGGUGGCGAGCGUUAUCCGGAUUUACUGGGUGUAAAGGGUGUGUAGGCGGGACUGUAAGUCAGAUGUGAAAUAUGCCGGCUCAACUGGCAGACUGCAUUUGAAACUGCGGUUCUUGAGUGAAGUAGAGGUAAGCGGAAUUCCUAGUGUAGCGGUGAAAUGCGUAGAUAUUAGGAGGAACAUCAGUGGCGAAGGCGGCUUACUGGGCUUUAACUGACGCUGAGGCUCGAAAGCGUGGGGAGCAAACAGGAUUAGAUACCCUGGUA
rnacentral:rRNA from 1 species